GCGAGGUGCGUGGCGGGAGGCGGGGGAGGGCGAGUGGUGCGAGCGUGGUGCGGAAGCACGGGGCUGAAAGGGGGCGGAGGGGGGGGGCCGCGUCCGGGGGGACAUGGCACGGCUCAAGCGGGGAACGGCCUCGGAUACGGGCGGCCUCGAGGGAGGUAGGGGCAUCGGGAACUGUGAGUGGAGCGGUGAAAUGCGUUGAUAUUCACAGGAACUCCGGUGGUGAAGGCGCGGUGCUGGACCUCAUCUGACGCUGAGGCGCGAAAGCCAGGGGAGCGAACGGGAUUAGAUACCCUGGUAGUC
rnacentral:rRNA from 1 species